GCCUCGGUAGCGCAGUAGGUAGCGCGUCAGUCUCAUAGCCACAAAAGGGCCAUCUGAAGGUCGUGAGUUCGAUCCUCACCCGGGGCA
rnacentral:tRNA from 1 species